GACGAACGCUGGCGGCGUGCUUAACACAUGCAAGUCGAACGAAGUGGCGAAAGGGUGAGUAAUAAGUGGGUAACCUGACCUCCUUUUUGGGAUAAGAAUUGGAGACGGGGUCUAAUACCGACUAUAGGGGGAGUGGUUCGCGGCCUAUCGGCUUGUUGGUGGGGGGGUGGCGUACCAAGGCGGUGCCGGGUAGCGGGCCUGAGAGGGUGGCCGGACACAUUGGGACUGAGAUACGGCCCAGACUCCUACGGGAGGCAGCAGUGGGGGAUAUUGCACAAUGGGCGAAAGCCUGAUGCAGCGACGCCGCGUGGGGGAUGAAGGCUUUCGGGUUGUAAACCUCUUUCGCUAGCGAACGGGUAGGUGGAGAAGAAGCGCCGGCUAACUACGUGCCAGCAGCCGCGGUAAUUC
rnacentral:rRNA from 1 species